UGUGGUGGUGGAGCUAAUGACAUGUGUGCAGAAACUCUUCUGAAUGGGACUUCCCUGAUCCUGUUUUUACCUGAUCUUCAUGCUCAAUAGAAAAAGCCUCAGCUUUGGAAUCAGCUUCCCAGUGAACACCGAGAGUUGAGUUUAGCAACUGUUUGGACUGGCCAUGUAACAGGGCCGUCCAGGUAGCAUGGCAUGGUACUGGAACACUAUGUCUUCUCUCUGACCUCUCGGAAUAUCUCUGUGAUUCAAUGUGUUGGCCCAUUGGAGGCCCUGGUACCCGUAUAAGUCCCUGUUUGACUGGUUAAAACCUGGAGGUUUGAGAAACCCCUGAUCUUCUCCAUACUCUUCACAAGGGCAAUGGCUGGCCAAGAUUACAAAUUAGUGACUGUUGAGGCUGGAAUCUGUACCGAGGUCAUGGGAACCCCCUGCACUGCCCCUUCUAAUCACCCUCCUGCUUGGACCCUGGGAGUAUGACAAAGAGUCAGAUAAGACAACUGAGGCUGAAGAUCACACAACCAGUAAAUGGAACAGCCAGAAAUCAAAUGUUAUAUAUUGGCCCUGAAGUGGGGAUAAAGCAGCUAAAAGAAAGUGUACUUUACAUUAAAUUUUAAGGUAUCCAAAAGCAAAUCAAUAAGCCAUACUCUAGUUACAUUAAGAUAUUUUCACAAGUGCUAGGUUAAGUAAUAUAAAAUUACCAUUUUUGUAGGUCAAAAGUAAUGGAAUAUCAUGCUUGUAUAUGGUUUGAUCUAAUAUAUAUCAUUAUCAGGUUCUACUAAUACAGAGUUUUCUGCCUUUACUUAACCAUCACAAUAAACUAAGGACUUCCAAGCUAGUAAGAAUAAUGACACAGAUAAUAAUUAGAAAAGUAUUCAUAACAUUAUCAACAAGAUUUAUGAGACAGGCAGAAAAAUCACAAAAAGGAAAAAAAGUCAGUUUGAAGUGUGAAAUCAAGUGAAUGAAGUAAGACAGAAGCAAUAAUCUCUACAACAAAAGAUGAGAACUUGCCUCCUCUAAAUCCCAUACACACAUGGCUAUUUGUUCCAAGCUUAUGUGGAUCAUCGCUAAUUUACAAACAGUG
rnacentral:lncRNA from 1 species